GACGAACGCUGGCGGCGUGCUUAACACAUGCAAGUCGAACGGAAAGGCCCUGCUUUUGUGGGGUGCUCGAGUGGCGAACGGGUGAGUAACACGUGAGUAACCUGCCCUUGACUUUGGGAUAACUUCAGGAAACUGGGGCUAAUCCCGGAUAGGAGCUCCUGCUGCAUGGUGGGGGUUGGAAAGUUUCGGCGGUUGGGGAUGGACUCGCGGCUUAUCAGCUUGUUGGUGGGGUAGUGGCUUACCAAGGCUUUGACGGGUAGCCGGCCUGAGAGGGUGACCGGCCACAUUGGGACUGAGAUACGGCCCAGACUCCUACGGGAGGCAGCAGUGGGGAAUAUUGCACAGUGGGCGGAAGCCUGAUGCAGCAACGCCGCGUGCGGGAUGACGGCCUUCGGGUUGUAAACCGCUUUCGCCUGUGACGAAGCGUGAGUGACGGUAAUGGGUAAAGAAGCACCGGCUAACUACGUG
rnacentral:rRNA from 1 species